rfam:Paenibacillus sp. oral taxon 786 str. D14 genomic scaffold supercont1.3, whole genome shotgun sequence.
AAUGCGAAUCCAUGAAUUUUCCGUAUAAGUGCAGGAAUUGGCCUGCACGUCUCUACCUGAUCACCGGAAUGAUCGGACUACGGAAAGUACCGCCGUGCAU